rnacentral:rRNA from 1 species
UGCAGUCGAGCGGGGAAGAGUAGCUUGCUACUUGACCUAGCGGCGGACGGGUGAGUAAUGCUUAGGAAUCUGCCUAUUAGUGGGGGACAACAUCUCGAAAGGGAUGCUAAUACCGCAUACGUCCUACGGGAGAAAGCAGGGGACCUUCGGGCCUUGCGCUAAUAGAUGAGCCUAAGUCGGAUUAGCUAGUUGGUGGGGUAAAGGCCUACCAAGGCGACGAUCUGUAGCGGGUCUGAGAGGAUGAUCCGCCACACUGGGACUGAGACACGGCCCAGACUCCUACGGGAGGCAGCAGUGGGGAAUAUUGGACAAUGGGGGGAACCCUGAUCCAGCCAUGCCGCGUGUGUGAAGAAGGCCUUUUGGUUGUAAAGCACUUUAAGCGAGGAGGAGGCUACCGAGAUUAAUACUCUUGGAUAGUGGACGUUACUCGCAGAAUAAGCACCGGCUAACUCUGUGCCAGCAGCCGCGGUAAUACAGAGGGUGCAAGCGUUAAUCGGAUUUACUGGGCGUAAAGCGCGCGUAGGUGGCCAAUUAAGUCAAAUGUGAAAUCCCCGAGCUUAACUUGGGAAUUGCAUUCGAUACUGGUUGGCUAGAGUAUGGGAGAGGAUGGUAGAAUUCCAGGUGUAGCGGUGAAAUGCGUAGAGAUCUGGAGGAAUACCGAUGGCGAAGGCAGCCAUCUGGCCUAAUACUGACACUGAGGUGCGAAAGCAUGGGGAGCAAACAGGAUUAGAUACCCUGGUAGUCCAUGCCGUAAACGAUGUCUACUAGCCGUUGGGGCCUUUGAGGCUUUAGUGGCGCAGCUAACGCGAUAAGUAGACCGCCUGGGGAGUACGGUCGCAAGACUAAAACUCAAAUGAAUUGACGGGGGCCCGCACAAGCGGUGGAGCAUGUGGUUUAAUUCGAUGC